CGUGUAGGCGGUUAGGCAAGUCAGAUGUGAAAGCCCUGGGCUCAACUCAGGAAGUGCAUUUGAAACUGUUUAACUAGAGUAAAAGAGAGGAAAGUGGAAUUCCUGGUGUAGAGGUGAAAUUCGUAGAUAUCAGGAGGAACACCGGUGGCGAAGGCGGCUUUCUGGCUCUAUACUGACGCUGAGACGCGAAAGCGUGGGGAGCAAACAGGAUUAGAUACCCUGGUAGUCC
rnacentral:rRNA from 1 species